rnacentral:lncRNA from 1 species
GGUUCUUUAUUUCUACUCUCACUCCUCUCUCAAAUUGUGAUUCUUAGGUCUUCCAGGAAUAAAAAAUAAAACCAGCCCUUUAAUAAAACAUAGAAUUUCUGUGGCUGUGCUUGCUUAGCUACAUGAGACCUGACAGAAACUUUGAAAUGCAUACACAUAAGGGCUGGAUCAAGCACCUUCUAUAAAGCCUCAACCUCCUUCCAGGAGGAAGGUAAUGGGAGUUCCUUCUUCCAGGACUGGUCAAGGAGAGCUUGCACAGACAGAGAAAGUAAUAUGUGCCAGUAGGUCUGCUGAAUUGCACAAUCAACCAUGGGGGGCAUCAUUCCCAUCAUGGUCCAUGUAAACAGUAUACUCUGUAGUUGUGCAUGCGGUGUGCAGCCUGAGUGACCCUACAUAGAAGUCCCUGACACAUCCCAGAGAGAAGUACCAGACACAUAUGCAGAAUAAGCAUUAGCAUAUUACCAAUUUCCAGGGUGUAAGAAAGAAGGCAAGCAGUUCAUUGCAAGAAGGAAGAAGUUGGUGGUAUGGAUUUCAUUGGGGUGAGCUAUAAAUGUUUUGAGUUCUCCCUGUUCCUACACCUACCUGCCAUGCAUGGGAGGGAAUGCUUCCCUGCUUCCCCCUCGCAUUAAACCAAAUGAAGAGGGUUUUCAGAGCAUAACUCAGAGAAAAUGGUCCUUGCCUCUGAAUUUGGAGAAUGCAGUGAAAAAUAUGUACUUUGAGAUAUAAGUCUGUCAUAUAAGCACAGUAUUCCAAACAUUAUCGGUUUGAUGCAAAACACAAAGGAACUUUUAUAUCUGAGAGCAUAAACCAGUACCACAUUGAUAGUUUUAGUUACCAUGUCACAAAAUUGCCUUAUAUUCCGUUUCCAAGCAACUAAAAUAUCCAGGUAUUUCCAGAUGAACUGAAAUUUGGUCACAUAUAUUGAUACUUUAUAUGGGCAAAUAAUUUUUUGAAAAUGAAUCUGAAGCAACUUGCUACGGAAGCAGCAUCCCUGAAUGUGAGGAUUUACAAUGCCUUGGUUUGCAUCUUACCUCGUUUACUUUGUUGGCCAAUCAUUGAUCUCUCUGAGCUUCAAUAUCCUCAUCUGUACCUUGAGAAUAAUGCCUCCCCCAAGGAAUUGUGGAAGUUAAAUGAGAUGAUUUGUGUAGGUUGUUAGCACAUUGGAAGCACUAGAUAAGUACAAGUUCCCUUCUGCCUUCUUUGAUGACACCCACAAUUUGUGAUUUUGCUCAUCUCCAACCACCCUCCAUGGGACAAUGUGACACAGGGAUUGAGAAUGGUUGCUAAGGAGGAGGAACUACUUAUAAGCAUGUGACUUCAGGAAAGUUUCAAUUCCCUGCUUCUCAGAACCUUUCUUUGUAAAAAGGGGGAAACAAUAGCUUUUAAGCAUAAGAUGAGACAUGGCACUUGAAGCAUUUGGGCACAGAGCCUGGCACACAUCAUAUGUUCAGUACUUUUUAAAUUGUCAUUACUCCUCCCCCAGCGACCAUGACUAUAGUGGGGUUUAUUUGCUUUGAUGGCAGGGCCCAAAACUGUCCUUCAGAAAUCUGACUAAAGGGUGUCUUUGAAACACUAUCUUUGUUUUGUUACAACUGAAGAGCCUUUAAAUUAGUUAGUCUGGAAAUCAAUAGCCGAUUUCUAGCAGGGGAGGUAGAAGGAAGGAUGGCCACAGCACUCCAUUUUGAAAGUCUGAUUCAUUUUGACCCACAUCGUCUACAAAGUCUUCUGCCAAUUUCUCUGAGAGACAUCCUCCCCCAAAUUCUAGGUGAUCUGUUCUGUUCCUCAUAAAUAACAAGGUAACUUUGAGUCUGUCACUUUCAUUUCACCUGUCAGCUCUUCCUUUUAUGGAAUUGACCUGAAGAGAAGUGGCUUUCCUCUUCUUUUACCUGAAUUCACUCUCUGGCUGGUUCCUCUACUAACACUACAUUUUUUGCCAUCCUCCCUUGGUCAUCACCUACAAUGUUUCCUGCUAUGUUACUUCCCUGUACCUCUCAGGACUACAGGGGACAACCUGGGUUAUUAGGAGCUAAGCUGCAAAGAGAUGGAGAAAUGAAAAUUUACACUUGUACUGGCCAAAAUUUAAGAUUUGGGAUAUAGUAGUGUUUAACAACCUUUUUAUAACUAAUGGGCCCUUGUAUAAUUUUUUUGAACUACUAUGAAUGUAGUGUUUCGAUAAAGAUUACUUUUAUGCAGGAAAAACAACAAAUAAUGUCUUCCUAUGAGAAAGCCAAAUGUACCACAAUGAGAUGACCCACUAUAAUUAUUAUAAAAAAGAAAAAAGCAAUUUUUAUUUGGCUUGGGCCAUCUUGCCCUAUGUAAUUCUCAUUUCUUUUAGGCUUGUGGAAAUCCUGAGAAUAGGUUGCAAACCCAUAUUAUUACCUUAAUAAACCCUUAGGUGUUGGUCACCCUAGGUUGGGAAUGACUGAGCAUGGCUUUAGCUGGAAUUAUGAAAGCAAAAUCAUUUAGUGAUAAAGGUGCUUUGUCUGAAGAAUAUAAUAAUUUAAAAUUCUAAUUUAUUUUCUUUUUAUUUGUUUUUUAAUGUUAUGAUGUUUGUCUUAAUAUCAUAAAUUCUCACUUAUUUAAUGACAGAUUAGCUGCAUUCUCUUAACAGAGGUAGCAUGGGGAAUAAAGCAAGAGCUUUGAAUCAGAAGGAUCUGAUUCUUCCACCUACAAGCUGAUACCUUCAUCAAUCUGUAAACCUCUCUGAGGCGUAGUUUCAUCAUCUAUAAAAAAGAUCAAGAACACCUACUUUAUAAGAUUGGUGUGAGGAUGAGAGGUGAUGUAUGUACAGGGAAGAUAGUGACUGGCACAGUGUAGGUGUCUAAUAAAGUGUAGUUAUCAUCAUGAAGAUGGAUAAAUUACCAUUUUUGAAUGCUUGCUAUAUACUAGGCCCUCCUCAUUUUCUGAUUAGAAAAUAGAGGCUUUGGGAAACUAGCUUUCUCGAAAUCACAUAGCUAAUUUAUGGCUGUAUUCAUCACCACAGGCCAGCUUUGCUGUGAUAACCAGCAGCCCCCAGAACUGAAUAGUUUUAAUCAGCAAAGAUUCAUUUCUCAUACAUGUCAUGUCCAUCAUGGGUUUGUGUGUGGCUCUGUGCCACAUCAUCCUCAGUGAGGAGGAUAGGCUGAGGAAAGCACCAGCAUCUGGAAUGUUGCUGGUUACUGGGGCCAAUAAAAGAAAGAUGAAGAAUUCUGCGGGAUCUCUUAAAAGAUUCUACCCAGAAGUGACAUGCAUCACUUUUCAUAUUUCAUUGGCCAGAACAAGUCACAUAGCCAUCCAUGCCUAACAUCAAAGAGGUGGAAACAUACAAGCCUUCCCUAUAACCCAAAGUGAUAACAUCUUUAAAGUGAUUGAAUUCUAAUUCAAACCUAGAUCGCUGGUUUGCAUAUGGACAAAAUAGGGGAACUGGAACCUCUUACUUCUUCUUAAAUCCAUUUUUCAUAACAUGGCCUUUUUGGUACAUCCGAAAAAAAUUCUCAGAAUUUACAAUAUCACAAGCAUAACUACUCAACUCUUAAGUGCGAAGGUAUAAUGCCAAGAAAACUAGAUGAGAUUUGUGGGUUUUCUACUUCUUGUGAUUAUGCAUAAUGAAACUAUGCACCUUCCUUGUCGACUUUGCCUCUUUCUUUUUCAUUUAUUUGCCUUUUAAGUGAGUAAAGUUGUAUAUUCCCCUCUCGACUUCCUUUCCCUACUUACAAAAUAUUUCUCCACAUCAUAGCACACUCCAGUGUUAACCACUUUGCUUUUUCCCCUUUGGCUUACAGCUUAAGAAAUAGCCUUGUUUGCUUUGUAUGAAUAUGGAACACAUUGGAACAAUGAGCACCAUAACAUUUUGUGCUUCUGAUUCCAAUGUUGCAGAACCUUGGCUCAUCAGAGCAUUUUUCUCACGUCCUGUCUGACUGACCGUUUAGCUCAGGGAUAAAAGCUCCCUAGGGUGACAGACUUGCACAGGUGCAGAGAAUAAACCCUGUUGUCAUGAUUCUUCCUCCUCAACCAAAAGGUGGAUUUUGAUGUGGCCUUUAACUGAGAGAAAAACUUAUUGAAAAAGUAGCCCAGAGGAACGAAGAAACCCCACAAUUCUGAUCUUGGGUCAGCUAUGGGGAUCAUAUUACAAACUGUCAAUUUAUCAAGGAAUCCCCAGAUUUUUCUUUUCAAGUGAAUCUGCGGAGACUUAGGAGCAUGGUUGUGCUAUUUUAAUAUGCCUAUUUAUUAAUUUAUUUUUACUGCUUUGGGUUUUCCUGCAAUUCACCAAUGAAUAAUCCCUCUCUCCAAACUCCCACUCCAGAAAUGUGUUUUUCUCUUUGUAUUUUCUUUGAUGUUUAUUCCACAACUUCCAUUGAGUUAUUGUCUUUUAUCAUAACAAGAAAUUCUCAUUAGUUCUGAAUUUGUUAUCACUCCAACAGCAACAAAACUUUUUUUAA